GACAGCAUCUCUCUCUGGCCUGGAACUGGUUAAGUAGGCUCAGGUAGGGGCCAUGGAGCUCCAGGGAUCCACCUGUCUGCUUCCCCAGUUAGGAUUACAAGUUAAGUUCUACCACACCCUGGUUUUUGUUUGUUUAUUUUGCUUGUUUUUUGAGACAGGGUCUCAUAUAGCCAACCCCAGCUUGCUUCCAUCUCCUUGUAUAGCUGAAGUGACCUGAACUUCUGGUCCAUCUGCCUCUACCUCCCUGGACUGGGAUUACAGGCACAGUCACAUCCCUGGCCAAGACUGAAGACUGAAGUCACCGACAGAAGAACCGCCGAGGCCAGUGCUAAAUGAGCCUUCAAAGCAACAGGAUCUCAGUCCUCCCCCUUUAGAGGGAUGGGUGCCCUCCCACCUGCUACAAUACAAGAAAGAGUCAGAGUGCCAGAGUGUGUGUGGUGCCUGGUGAGAAGAUACGCACAAAAACUGAGGACCAUCUUCAAGGAUGUCAGAAAUAUCUCCUUCCUGCCCAAGGGCUCAUUGGGACCCUGACAGGGCAGGAGGAGGACACAGGAUGGAAACAGCAAAGAAUGGGUCCGAUGAGGACAGAAAGGCUGUUACCUUCAGGAUUCUGCUGGACCCCUGCUUCAGACUCUAGAGUUGGCAAAGUCAGACACGCCCUAGUUUUGCCCCGCAGACGUCUGGUCGGUUCCUCAUACUAGGAGAGAGGGGGCGCUCUGCUCCUAGACUUUCGUGCUUCCGCGGAACUGCAGUUCUGGCUAAGGUCCACAGCGUAGGGCUGGCUUGGGAAGUUCGCUAUGGGUGUUGGUGGAACAACUCCCCUCCCCAUGUCCGAGGUCUCUUUAGGCAGGGUCGUCCCGAUUCCGAGGGAAACAAUGCUUAAACUUCUACCUCGCAGCCUUGCCUGUCGCUAGGUGAGCCUAUUGUGGGUAAGGGUCCUGGAGAGCAAGGGGUCUCAUGUAGCCCCAGCUUGCGGGGGAGGGGCAAGCUGUGCGUUCCGGUCUCUGGGAACUGUGCCCUGUGGGCAUUGUUGUGUCUGACCCAGGUAGGGGCGGAAGGAGGGACAGAAAGAACGGUUACACUUGGGGUUCUCCAGUCAGGGUUGGAAUUCAGACUCAUCCACCUCUGGCACCCAGGAAAAGGCACCCCAGAACCAUCUUUUUAUACGCUUCUGCGAGGUUGGCUUAGUUUGGACCUCCCAAAGAACUAGUGUAAUGCAGGUAUCACUGUGCCCUUUUACAGACAAGAAAGAGGCUGGACACGACACGGUGGACUAGAUUCAAAGCCGGUAGUGCCUAACCCCCUCACUAGAAUCUGGGUUUGUCUGAGGCCAAGUGUGCCAAGACGGAGAGAGUGGAGACCACCAGUCUGGCAAGCCCUGGGACUCCAGAAGCCUUGGGUCCUCAAAGAUGAGACCCGCACAAUGCAGGCAGACCCUCUGGCCGACUAUGGCAGCGCUGGCCCAGCCUCCGCCGCCUCUCUGCUCUUCUAUCCCAGGGGGGUAAUCCAUAGCCCAUUGGAACGGCGGCCUGGGACGCUAGAAGAGGGCGCUGCAGCCUGGGAGUGACAUCCACCCGCACUGCUUCUCUGCUGCAUUUGAGCUUGCCCCCACCCCACCCCCAGGCUGGACAGCGAAGGAUCCCUUCUUGGAGGGUCUGGGGCGCUUGCAGCGAGUAAGGGUCGCCUGUCCAGGUUGUGAAGGACGACAGCUUGGGACAGAGGCAAGGCCUUCAUGGCCCUGAAUAGGGGGCAUCUAGAAGCACCCGGAUCCUACUUUUGGAGCAUGUCGGUGCCAUUUAGCCAUCGUCCCAUGGGGCGAGGGUCUGGGGCACUCACGUGGUGGGAAAGUUUCGAGGUAGCAAAAGUGGUCUGGCAUCGCAGGGCGUGUGUGUGUGUGGGGGGGGUAGAACCUUUUCGCCCCUCCUCGCCAAGACAGAAAGAGAAAGAGCGGAGGGAAGAGGGGGUGAGGGGAGGACCAAGCAGCACCGACCUGCAGAAUCCGCCUCCCCCUCCGCCCCCGGGAAGCCCGAGCAGGGAGGCGCGGACCGUCUCCUCCCGCACGCCCCGGACGACACUCCCCCCCCUUUUUUUUUCCUGCCAACGUCUAUCUCAACGCGCGCGCACAUACGGAGAUUGUGCGGCUUUUUUACCCCUCGGGGAAAAAAGAACAGGGAGUGGAAAGGAAGAGAAGGCAAAGCGAA